GGCUUAUAUUAUUUGUUGCUACAUAACAAAUUGCCCCAAAUGUAGUGGCUUAAAACAACAGACAUUUAUUCUCCCAGUUUCUGUGGGUCUGGAAUCUGGGAGCAGCUUAGCUGGUUCUGGUCCAGGGUCUCUCACUGGGUUGUGGUCACAUGUUUGCUGGCUGGGCUGGAGGGCCUGCUUUCGAGGUGGUUUCAACACUCGACCACUGACAGGAGGCCCUGGUCCCGUCCCAUGUGGGCUCUCCAUGGUGCUGCUUGAGCAUCCUCACAGCUCAGAUUGAGCGAUGAGAGGGAGGGAGGAAGAGAGUGAAAACACACAAGGCGGGAGGUGCAGGGCCUCUUUGUUUCGUAGCACCUGAAGCACACACAGUCACUGCCACUCUCUUCAUCAGAAGCAGCCAAGUCCCACACUCAGCGGUGGGAAGUGAGCUCCACCUCACGAAAGGGGAAGUCAAAGAAUUUGUGGACAUGCUUUAAAGCCACUGUCACGCGAGACGAACACUUGUAAUGAAAAAUUGGGGCAGUAUUAAGAAAGUGUACUUCAGGAAAAAGCUGUCCAUGGAACUGCCACGUGCAGGUCCACUCUGACACCUUGGUUGUGUGCUGUUCCUGCCUUUUUUUUUUCUGGCCCUGGUGGUUUUUCAUGGACUUGUAGUUAAACUGCAUAUGUAAUUUUCCUUCAUUUUUCACUUAGUAUCAUGACAUUUUACGUGCUUAUAAACUCUAUAAAAAUCCAUUUUUUAGUUUUCUGUUUUAAGAGACCAGGUCUCCCUCUGUCACCCAGACUGGAAUGCAGUGGUGUAAUCGGAGAUCGCCGUAACCUCGACCUCCUUGGCUCAAGGGAUCCUCCUGCUCCAGCCUCCCAAAUAGCUGGGAUUACAUAUACCACCACAUGCAGAUAAUUUUUUUUGGUUUGGUGUUGUUUGUUUGCGACUGAGUUUCGCUCUGUUGUCCAGGCUGGAGUGUAGUGGCGCAAUCUUGGCUCACUGCAACCUCUGCCUCCCGGAUUCAAGCGAUUUUCCUGCCUCAGCCUCCCAAGUAGCUGGGACUACAUGUGCAUCCCAACAUGCCCAGCUAAUUUUUGUAUUUUUAGUAGAGACGGGAUUUCACUUUGUUGGUCAGGGUGGUCUUGAACGCCGACCUCAAGUGAUCUGCCUGCCUUUACCUCCCAAAGUGCUGGGACUACAGGCAUGAGCCAUGGCGCCCAGCCUGUUUUUAAGAGACAGGGUCUCUUUAUGUUAUCCAGGCUGGUCUUGAACUCCUGACCUCAAGCAGUCCUCCCACCUCAGCCUCUCAAAGUGCUGGGAUUACAGGCAUGAGCCACUAUGCCUGGGCUAGUUUUUUUAAUUAAACUUUUUGUUUUGAGAUAAUCAUAGCUGCACAUGCAGUUGUAAUAAAUAAUACAAAGAGAUUCCAUGUACACUUUACCCAGUUUCCUCCAAUGGUAACAUUUUGCAAAACUAUAAUAAAAUAUCACCAUCAGGAUCCUAACAUGGUCAAAAUACAGAGCAGUUCCAUCACCAGGAUCCCUCCUGUCACCCUUUUAAGGCCACCCUUACACCCCCAUCCCUACGGACCCCAUCCCUAACCACUGGCAACUACUAAUCUUCUCGGCUUCUACCAUUUUAUUAUUUCAAGAACACAUAUAAAUGGAAGCAUAUGAUGUGUAACUUUAGGGGACUGGUUUAAUUCUCUGGAGAUUAGCCCAGGUUGUUUGAUGCAUCAGGAGUUCAUUCUUUGCCAUUCUUGAGUGGUAUUCAAAGGUAUGGGUCGACCAUGGUUUGUUUAACCAUUUCCACAUUGAAGGACAUCUAGGCUGACUCCAGAUUUUGGCUGUUCCAGAUAAAGCUGCUAUGAACAUUUGUGUUCAUGUGUUCAAGCUUUUAUGUGAACAGUCUUCAUUGUUCUGGGAUAAGUCCGCAGGAGUGCCACGGUGGGGUCGUAUGGGAGUUGCAUAUUUCGUUAUGAAAAUCAUAUUUAAUAGCAGCUUAAUUCUUCAUCAAGAGACUAGAUCUUUUUUUUUUUUUUUUUUUUUUUUUUUUUUUUUUUUUUUUUUUUUGAGACAGAGUCUUGCUCUGUCGCCCAGGCUGGAGCACAAUGGCACGAUCUCGGCUCACUGCAACCUCCGCCUCCCGGGUUCAAGCAAUUCUCCUGCCUCAGCCUCCCGAGUAGCUGGGAUUACAGGCACCCGCCACCAUGCCCGGCUAAUUUGUGUAUUUUUAGUAGAGACGGGGUUUCACCAUGUUGGCUAGGCUGGUCUCGAACUCCUGACCUUGGGUGAUCCCCCCACCUCGGCCUCCCAAAGUGCUGGGAUUACAGGUGUGAGCCACCACGCCUGGCCAAGACUAGAUCAUAAUUUAAGUAUUAUUCCUUUGUCAUUGGAUAUAUAGUAUUUCUAAUUAAUGGGCAAUUAUAAGUGAUUCUGUACUUUGUCUUUAAAAUUAUUUUUGUGUUUCUGAUUAUUUCUUUAGGAUGGGUUCCCAUGAGUAGAGUUGCUCCAUGGUGGGAUGGGAGACUUCAAGGGGCAAGUUGCCAAACUAGACAUUUCUAAUUCUGGUAACAGGCUGCCAUGUGUGCGUUAUUGAGUUGAUGUGCUCACAAUGCCCUGGGCGGUGAUGGGGGCUUUGCAGGCCCACGUGGGAGCUGUCAGGGAGCCAGCGAGGCCUCAGCUGGCUUGGUUGGCACUUCCCUGACAAUCCUUCCAUUGUGCCCAUCAGUGCUGGAUGCCCAAAGCCUGGCACGGAGUUUCUUUAACCGCCUUUGGGAAGUUGCCGGCCAGUGGCAGAAGCAGGUGCCAUUGGCUGCCCGGGCCUCACAGCGGCAGUGGCUGGUCUCCAUCCACGCUAUCCGGAACACUCGCCGCAAGAUGGAGGACCGGCACGUGUCCCUCCCUUCCUUCAACCAGCUCUUCGGCUUGUCUGACCCUGUGGACCGUGCCUACUUUGCUGUGUUUGAUGGUCACGGAGGUGUGGAUGCUGCGAGGUACGCCGCUGUCCACGUGCACACCAACGCUGCCCGCCAGCCAGAGCUGCUCACAGACCCUGCAGGAGCCCUCAGAGAAGCUUUCCGGCGCACCGACCAGAUGUUUCUCAGGAAAGCCAAGCGAGAGGCAGGGUCUCAGCAGGCUACCGAUGUCCUCUGGGAACACUCCUUCGGGAGUUAUAGCCA
rnacentral:sRNA from 1 species